rnacentral:rRNA from 1 species
GAUGAACGCUGGCGGCGUGCCUAAUACAUGCAAGUCGAGCGAACGGACGAGAAGCUUGCUUCUCUGAUGUUAGCGGCGGACGGGUGAGUAACACGUGGAUAACCUACCUAUAAGACUGGGAUAACUUCGGGAAACCGGAGCUAAUACCGGAUGAUAUUUUGAACCGCAUGGUUCAAAAGUGAAAGACGGUCUUGCUGUCACUUAUAGAUGGAUCCGCGCUGCAUUAGCUAGUUGGUAAGGUAACGGCUUACCAAGGCAACGAUGCAUAGCCGACCUGAGAGGGUGAUCAGCCACACUGGAACUGAGACACGGUCCAGACUCCUACGGGAGGCAGCAGUAGGGAAUAUUCCGCAAUGGGCGAAAGCCUGACGGAGCAACGCCGCGUGAGUGAUGAAGGUCUUCGGAUCGUAAAACUCUGUUAUUAGGGAAGAACAUAUGUGUAAGUAACUGUGCACAUCUUGACGGUACCUAAUCAGAAAGCCACGGCUAACUACGUG